AAACGAAACAGAAGGCCCAUGAAAGUUCCUCCUCUUCUCGUUGACCCCUAGCCCCUCUCUCUCAAACUGCCUCAUCCACCUCCACCGAAGCGAUCGCCGAGUGUUCGACGAGUGCCUGCGCGGAGCGGCGUCAAUGGGUUCAUCGCCGCAAGCGUAAAGCUACCCGCCUCGCGGUGUUCGUUCCCCGGCGCAUCGACGCUGAAAGCACUGAAGAUUGGUCCAUCGACUCAUCUUGACACUAAUGGACCGGGAACACUCGGCUUUGAAGAAAAUGAGAUUGGAGGACGCAGAGGAUUCUGCGAUCAGUCAAGUGCCUGCCACGGCGUCGAGCAUGCAUCAGCAAUUGUUCUGGAGCCAGUGGCAGCUACUGGACUCCAUUCUCCCCACGGGCGGUUUCGCACACUCCUACGGCCUGGAAGCUGCUAUGCAAUCGCGCAUAGUGAACAACCAGGAAGACCUGAGGCUGUUCCUCAUCCAGGUCUUGGACAACAUUGGAAGCCUGCUGCUUCCAUUCGUCUACUGCGCCAGUAGGUCUCCUGAGGCUGCAGCGUGGGUUAAGCUAGAUCAGCUGCUGGACGCUACACUGACAAAUGAGGUCGGCAGGAAGGCGUCCACGUCGCAAGGCUCGGCUCUGUUGAGGGUGGCCGCGUCUGUCUUCACUGAGAUCCAGCCGCUGCAGGAUCUCCGACGGACAUUUCUCGGUUCCAUGAGUGUGUCGUUACACCAUGCACCGAUAUUCGGGUUGAUAUGUGGGCUGGUUGGAUUUGACAGCGAGACAACGCAGCGUGCUUACAUGUUUGUGGCAAUGAGGGAUGUGAUCUCCGCCGCGACGAGGCUCAAUUUGAUCGGACCGCUUGCUGCUUCGGUUCUGCAGCACCAGGUUGCGCCAGAUGCCGAGAAGAUGCUGCAAAAGUGGAAGGACCGUGAUGUCUCUGAAGCAUCACAGACUGCGCCGCUGCUUGACGCGUUGCAAGGCUGCCAUGCUUACAUGUUCUCUAGGCUGUUUUGCUCCUAACAGGCGAGGUUGCUGAAUGCAAUUUGGUAUAGUUCUGCUCAUGGUUUUACCUUAGAGAAGUACAGGACCCCUGGCUUUCCUAAACAACAAUGGCAUCAGAAUAUUACAAGCAUCCUGAGGAUAGAUGCCCAGUAUGAUUUUUUAUUUUACUUGCAAGCAAGAUUGUACAAAAAUGCCAAUAGUACAUUAUGUUCAUGUGUGACGCCUCUCUGCCAUGUGCCAUCUAUUACACUCGUCAUACAUAUGAUACAUCUGUCUUCGGCUUCACCAAUUAUGACAUUGAUAUAAUUAUGCAUUGCAUAUUACAAAGAACAUUGCUUUCUUUUGCUCCAUGAUCCGAAGUACUGGAUCUGUUGCUCCAGCUCCAGAUUCUAUGCUAAGUGCAACAGCAGAAUGCUUGGCUUCAACGGAUUUUUCAUGCUCAACAGAUCUGAACAGCUCGGAGAAGUUGCCCUUGCCAAUCCUGCCACAGCCACCCUUCUGGUACUCUUGCCCGGUCCCGUCCUUCCCCAUGCACCCGAUCCUUUUGGAUCAUCUUCAUAACAAGGUUGGCCUGAACAUAGUAGCUGAUGCAGUUAGAUUUUGAAUCACAAAGAGUAGAUAAAAGAUAGCAAAAAUGCAGUCUGAAGUCAGUAGGGCACUGAACCUCAAGUUACUGAAUUAUGGCAUAAAUACUAGUACUAUAUUAUAUGCUAAACCAAAACAUUUGCAAACAACUGUGUAUAGCUCUAUGCUAAAAUACAGUACACCAUGACCAUGCCACGAAUUGUGAAGUUGGAUAUGUUGGCCCUAUGCAAGCAGCUUUAUUCCCCUUUAAAGCUGUCAUGAUUUUCAUAAAGAUGCAUCAUGUAUGGAUGCGCUAAAAAGAGUUUCAGUUGGAUUCACAGCAUUCAGUAUAACCAAGGUUUGAUACCUUUAUGCACCUUACACAUACACCAUGUGAUGUAGAACUCAAAAUCGUUUCGUCUUUAUUUUACUGGCAAGGAAGAUUGUACAACAACAAUGCCAACAGUACAUUUUGUUCAUGUGUGAGCCCUUCUUACAUCUGUUACACUCAUGAUACAUAACACGGAUAUAAUUGCACGUCGCAUAUCACAAACAACAUUGUUUUCUUUUGCUCCAUGAGACCAUGAUACAAAGUACUGGAUCAGCUUCUCCAGCUUCAGCUUCUAUCCUAUGAUCCCUGAAGUGCAGCAGAUUGCUUGGCUUCAAGGGACUUCUCAUAAUCCUCAAUGGACUUGAACAUCUCGGAGAAGUUGCCUUUGCUGAACCCACCACAGCCACCCUUCUGGGGGUAGAGCAAAGAAGCAGCUUGAAUUUAUUAUCCAGGUCUUGGAGAACAUUGGAAGCCUGCUGCUUCCAUUCCUGUACUACGCCAGUAGGUUUCCUGAUUCCGCGGGAUGGAUCAAGCUAUAUCAGCUACUAGAUGCUACGUUGACGAACGAGGCCGGCAGGACAUCGUCCACGUCGCAAGGCCCGGCUCUUUUGAGGGUGGCAGUGUCUUUCUUCACUGAGAUUCAGUCGCUGCAGGAUCUCCGAAGGACAUUUCCCAGUUCCACGAGCGUGUCGUUUC